UACGGAGGUGGCAAGCGUUGUUCGGAAUUACUGGGCGUAAAGGGCGCGUAGGCGGCAAGGCAAGUCAGGUGUGAAAGCCCCGAGCUUAACUCGGGAAUUGCAUCUGAAACUGCUGUGCUUGAGUUCUGGAGGGGGUAGUGGAAUUCCCAGUGUAGCGGUGAAAUGCGUAGAUAUUGGGAGGAACACCUGCGGCGAAGGCGGCUACCUGG
rnacentral:rRNA from 1 species